GACGAACGCUGGCGGCGUGCUUAACACAUGCAAGUCGAACGGUGAUGCUCCAGCUUGCUGGAGUGGAUCAGUGGCGAACGGGUGAGUAACACGUGAGCAACCUGCCCCAGACUCUGGAAUAAGCGCUGGAAACGGCGUCUAAUACUGGAUACGAAACUGGCCCGCAUGGGCAUGGUUUGGAAAGUUUUUCGGUUUGGGAUGGGCUCGCGGCCUAUCAGCUUGUUGGUGAGGUAAUGGCUCACCAAGGCGACGACGGGUAGCCGGCCUGAGAGGGCGACCGGCCACCCUGGGACUGAGACACGGCCCAGACUCCUACGGGAGGCAGCAGUGGGGAAUAUUGCACAAUGGGCGAAAGCCUGAUGCAGCGACGCCGCGUGAGGGAUGACGGCCUUCGGGUUGUAAACCUCUUUCAGCAGGGAAGAAGCGAAAGUGACGGUACCUGCAGAAGAAGCACCGGCUAACUACGUG
rnacentral:rRNA from 1 species